GUGUGUAGCGGAUGGGGGUGGGAUUUACUCUGAUAUGCUAUAUGUUUUGAGAAUAUGAUAAAUGUUAUAUGAUUCAAAAAUACGAAAAUUUUGAUUAGAUAAUUGCAUAUGAGAAUUCUAUAAGUAAAAUUUUGUAUGUGGGCCAAGUUACACACUGAGCUUCUAGCACAUUUUUUUUUGUUUUUUUUCGUUUUAGGUAGUCCUCAAACUUAGGAUUGGGCAACGAUUCUGG
rnacentral:lncRNA from 1 species